AGAGACCCCCAGAACAGCCCCCAGCCCCUCAGAGACCCCCAGAACAGCCCCCAGCCCCCAGCCCGCCGUGCCUGGCCGGGGUUGGGGCCGCCCAGGGUGGGCUGCCGUGCCCCGAAGCUCUGCGCGUGUUUGCUGCUCUGCUCCUUCUUGGCCUCCACGGCCGCGUAGUACCUGCGGCAGGUGUGGGGCAGGUGUGGGGCAGGUGUGGGGCAGGUGUGGGGCAGGUGUGGGGCAGGUGAGGGGCAGGUGUGGGGCAGGUGAGGGGCAGGUAUGGGGCAGGUGUGGGGCAGGUGUGGGGGCAGGUGAGGACAGAGGUGGGGCAAGUUUGGGGCAAGUGAGGGACAGUUGAGGGGCAAGUUUGGGGCAGUUGAGGGGCAGGUGUGGGGCAGGUGUGAGGCAGUUGUGGGGCAGGUGUGGACAGAGGUGGGGCAAGUUUGGGGCAAGUUUGGGGCAGGUGAGGGGCAAGCUUGGGGCAGUUGAGGGGCAGGUGUGGGGGCAGGUGAGGGGCAGGUGAGAACAAGGGCGGGGCAAGUUUGGGGCAAGUUUGGGGCAGGUGAGGACAGGGGUGGGGCAAGUUUGGGCCAAGUUUGGGGCAGGUGAGGGGCAGGUGAGAGCAGAGGUGGGGCAGGUUAUGAGGCAGAUUUAUGGCAAUUUAGGGCAGGUUUGGGGCACGAACAGGACAAGGUUUUGGGGCAGUUUUGGGGCAAUAACAGGACUGGGUUUUGGGGCAGAUUUGGGGUGGUUUUGGGGCAGAUUCAGAUCAGGUUUUUGGGGCAGGUUUGGGGCAGUUUUGGGGCAUGUACAGGACUGGGUUUUGGGUCAGGUUUGGGGCAGGAUUUUGGGGCAGAUUCAGGUCAGGGUUUUGGGGCAGGUUUGGGCAGGUUUUGGGGCAGAUUCAGGCCGGUUUGGGGCAAUAACAGGACAGGGUUUUGGGGCAGGUUUGGGCAGGAUUUUGGGGCAGAUUCAGGUCAGGGUUUUGGGGCAGGUUUGGGCAGGUUUUGGGGCAGAUUCAGGCAGGUUUUGGGGCAGAUUCAGGUCAGGGUUUUGGGUCAGGUUUGGGGCAGAUUCAGGCCGGUUUGGGGCACUAACAAGACAGGGUUUUGGGGCAGAUUUGGGCAGGUUUUGGGGCAGAUUCAGGCCGGUUUGGGGCAGGAACAGGACAGGGUUUUGGGGCAGGAUUUUGGGGCAGAUUCAGGCCGGUUGGGGCUCACCCCUGCGUGCUGAAGGCCCCGCCCGGGCCCAGCAGCUGGAACAGCUGGUGCCGCGUGCGGGAGCUGUUCCCGGUGAACAGAAAAUGCUCCAGCGGCACCGGGCGCCGCGGCGUGCUGAUCACCCGCACACAGCGCCGCUUGGUGCGCCUGGAACGGGGCGAAAAACGGAGAAAUUGGGAAAAAACAGGAUUGGAGCAGGUACAGCGCCGCUUGGUGCGCGUGGAACGGGGCAAAAAACAGAGAAAUUGGGAAAAAAACAGGAUUGGAGCAGGUACAGCGCCGCUUGGUGCACCUGGAAUGGGGCAGAAAACGGAGAAAUUGGGAAAAAAAUAGAGAAAUUGGAUAAAAAACAGAGAAAUUGGAAAAAAAACAGAGAAAUUGGGAAAAAAAACAGAGAAAUUGGGAAAAAAACAGAGAAAUUGGGAAAAAAAACAGAGGAAUUGGGAAAAAAACAGCAUUGGAGCAGUCACAGCGCCGCUUGGUGCGCCUGGAAUGGGGCAGAAAACGGAGAAAUUGGGAAAAAACCAGAGAAAUUGGGAAAAAAACCAGAGAAAUUGGGAAAAAACAGAGAAAUUGGGAAAAAAACAGAGGAAUUGGGAAAAAAAACAGGAUUGGAGCAGUUACAGCGCCGCUUGGUGCGCCUGGAAUGGGGCAAAAAACAGAGACAUUGGGGAAAAAAACAGAGAAAUUGGGAAAAAAACAGAGAAAUUGGGAAAAAAACAGAGAAAUUGGGAAAAAACAGAGAAAUUGGGAAAAAAACAGAGAAAUUGGGAAAAAAACAGAGAAACUGGGAAAAAAACAGAGAAAUUGGGAAAAAAUCCAGAGAAAUUGGGAAAAAAACAGAGAAACUGGGAAAAAAACAGAGAAAUUGGGAAAAAAAACCAGAGAGAUUGGGAAAAAACAGGAUUGGAGCAGUUACAGCGCCGCUUGGUGCGCCUGGAAUGGGGCAGAAAACGGAGAAAUUGGGGAAAAAAACAGAGAAAUUGGGAAAAAAACAGAGAAAUUGGGAAAAAAACAGAGAAAUUGGGAAAAAAAACAGAGAAAUUGGAAAAAAACAGGAUUGGAGCAGUUACAGCGCCGCUUGGUGCGCCUGGAACGGGGCAGAAAACAGAGAAAUUGGGAAAAAAAAUAGAGAAAUUGGAAAAAAACCAGAGAAAUUGGGAAAAAAAUAGAGAAAUUGGGAAAAAACCAGGAUUGGAGCAGUCACAGCGCCGCUUGGUGCGCCUGGAACGGGGCAGAAAACAGAGAAAUUGGGAAAAAACAGAGAAAUUGGGAAAAAACCAGAGAAAUUGGGAAAAAACCAGAGAAAUUGGGAAAAAAAACCAGAGAAAUUGGGAAAAAAACAGAGAAAUUGGAGAAAAAAACAGAGAAAUUGGGAAAAAAAACCAGAGAAAUUGGGAAAAAAACAGGAUUGGAGCAGUCACAGCGCCGCUUGGUGCGCGUGGAACGGGGCAGAAAACGGAGAAAUUGGGAAAAAAAUAGAGAAAUUGGGAAAAAACCAGGAUUGGAGCAGUCACAGCGCAGCUUGGUGUGCGUGGAAUGGGGCAAAAAACGGAGAAAUUGGGAAAAAAUCAGAGAAAUUGGGAAAAAAAACAGGAUUGGAGCAGGUACAGCGCCGCUUGGUGCGCCUGGAAUGGGGCAAAAAACGGAGAAAUUGGGAAAAAAUCAGAAAAAUUGGGAAAAAACAGAGAAAUUGGGAAAAAAACAUAGAAAUAGGGAAAAAAAAACAGAGAAAUUGGGAAAAAAACAGAGAAAUUGGGAAAAAAAACAGAGAAAUUGGGGAAAAAACAGAGAAAUUGGGAAAAAAACAGGAUUGGAGCAGGUACAGCGCCGCUUGGUGCGCCUGGAAUGGGGCAGAAAACGGAGAAAUUGGGAAAAAAACAGAGAAAUUGGGAAAAAAACAGCAUUGGAGCAGGUACAGCGCCGCUUGGUGUGUGUGGAAUGGGGCAAAAAACGGAGAAAUUGGGAAAAAAACAGGAUUGGAGCAGUCACAGCGCCGCUUGGUGCGCGUGGAACGGGGCAAAAAACGGAGAAAUUGGGAAAAAACAGAGAAAUUGGGAAAAAACAGGAUUGGAGCAGUUACAGCGCCACUUGGUGUGCGUGGAAUGGGGCACAAAACAGAGAAAUUGGGAAAAAAACAGAGAAAUUGGGAAAAAACAGGAUUGGAGCAGUUACAGCGCCGCUUGGUGCGCCUGCAACGGGGCAAAAAACGGAGAAAUUGGGAAAAAAACAGAGAAAUUGGGAAAAAAACAGGAUUGGAGCAGUCACAGCGCCGCUUGGUGUGCGUGGAACGGGGCAGAAAACGGAGAAAUUGGGAAAAAACAGAGAAAUUGGGGAAAAAACAGAGAAAUUGGGAAAAAACAGAGAAAUUGGGGAAAAAAAACAGAGAAAUUGGGAAAAAACAGGAUUGGAGUAGUUACAGGGAUCCCCUGUCCCCCAUGUCCCUGUCAC
rnacentral:lncRNA from 1 species